GCUGGGAUGGCAGAGUGGCUAUGCAACUGACUGCAGACCAGUUUAGGCCGGUUCGACUCCGGCUCCCAGCU
rnacentral:ncRNA from 15 species